rnacentral:tRNA from 1 species
GUUGUGGCUCAGUGGUAGAGCACUUGUCUAGCAUGUGUGAGGGCCUGGGUUCAAUUCUUAGCACAACA